rnacentral:rRNA from 1 species
AGUGAACGCUGGCGGUAGGCCUAACACAUGCAAGUCGAACGGCAGCACAGGAGAGCUUGCUCUCUGGGUGGCGGGUGGCGGCCGGGUGAGGAAUACAUCGGAAUCUACUCUGUCGUGAGGGAUAACGUAGGGAAACUUACGCUAAUACCGCAUACGACCUACCGGUGAAAGCAGGGGACCUUCGGGCCCUGCGCGAUUGAAUGAGCCGAUGUCGGAUUAGCUAGUUGGCGGGGUAAAGGCCCACCAAGGCGACGAUCCGUAGCUGGUCUGAGAGGAUGAUCAGCCACACUGGAACUGAGACACGGUCCAGACUCCUACGGGAGGCAGCAGUGGGGAAUAUUGGACAAUGGGCGCAAGCCUGAUCCAGCCAUACCGCGUGGGUGAAGAAGGCCUUCGGGUUGUAAAGCCCUUUUGUUGGGAAAGAAAUCCAGCUGGCUAAUACCCGGUUGGGAUGACGGUACCCAAAGAAUAAGCACCGGCUAACUUCGUGCCAGCCGCCGCCGUAA